AGUCGUACAUAGAGACCUGAAGUAUUCACAGCUUCAAAUCUCUGUGUAUGAUUGG
rnacentral:precursor_RNA from 1 species